rnacentral:piRNA from 1 species
GCUUGAAGACACCGGAACAUAUGGCU